UACACCGAUGACUUCCUAUUCCUUUUUAAUUGGGAUGGUCUACAUGGAAAAUUGCCUUUAAAAGGAUACACACAAAUUUCGGAUAUGAUUUUCGAUGUUUUUGAUUUUAGUGAUAAGAAAUCUUUCGAAAUUGCAAUGAAAGAAUUUAUGGCACGUAGUCGUAACAGGAUAUAUCAGA